GCACUGCUGAGGAGUCCCACAACAGGGCGAAACAGCAAGUCUAGUGC
rnacentral:hammerhead_ribozyme from 1 species